AGUGAAUAGAUACCCGGGUAGUCCACGCCGUAAACGAUGAGCACUAGGUGUCGGGGUCGCAAGACUUCGGUGCCGUAGUUAAACGCAUUAAGUGCUCCGCCUGGGGAGUACGUUCGCAAGAAUGAAACUCAAAGGAAUUGACGGGGACCCGCACAAGCAGCGGAGCAUGUGGUUUAAUUCGAAGCAACGCGAAGAACCUUACCAGGACUUGACAUCCUUCUGACAGGACCUUAACCGGUCCCUCCUUCGGGCAGAAGAGACAGGUGGUGCAUGGUUGUCGUCAGCUCGUGUCGUGAGAUGUUGGGUUAAGUCCCGCAACGAGCGCAACCCUUGUCAUUAGUUGCCAUCAUUUGGUUGGGCACUCUAGUGAGACUGCCGGGGUAUAACUCGGAGGAAGGUGGGGAUGACGUCAAAUCAUCAUGCCCCUUAUGUUCUGGGCUACACACGUGCUACAAUGGCUGGUACAAAGAGACGCAAGACCGCGAGGUGGAGCAAAUCUUCAAAA
rnacentral:rRNA from 1 species